rnacentral:pre_miRNA from 1 species
GGCCCAAAUUUGAAGUAGAGUAAAUAAGAAGGAUCAUCUGACUCUACUAAACUACUCUACUUCAAGUUCGGGGCCC